rnacentral:rRNA from 1 species
CCCUUAGAUGUCCUGGGCUGCACGCGUGCUACACUGAUUAUUUCAACAAGUGUUUUAACUGGAGAGUUUGCGUAAUCCUGAAAUGUUAUCGUGAUGGGAGUAGAGUAUUGUAUUUGUUAAUCUUUAACGAGGAAUUCCUAGUAAGUGUAGGUUUAUAAGUUGUUCUGAUUACGUCCCUGCCCUUUGUACACACCGCCCGUCGCUCCUACCGAUUGAUUGAUCCGUGAAUUACAUAGAAUUUUGCGUUUUACAUGACGGAAGAUGAAGUGUUUUAAACCUUAUCAUUUAGAGGAAGGAGAAGUCGUAACA